rnacentral:rRNA from 1 species
UACAGAGGGGGCAAGCGUUAUUCGGAAUUAUUGGGCGUAAAGGGCGCGUAGGCGGCUUUGCAAGUGACGGGUGAAAUCCCUCGGCUUAACCGAGGAACUGCCUGUCAGACUGCAUGGCUUGAGACCGGGAGAGGUGAGUGGAAUUCCCAGUGUAGCGGUGAAAUGCGUAGAUAUUGGGAGGAACACCAGUGGCGAAGGCGGCUCACUGGACCGGUACUGACGCUCAUGCACGAAAGCGUGGGGAGCAAACAGG